GACGAACGCUGGCGGCGUGCUUAACACAUGCAAGUCGAACGGAAAGGCCCUGCUUUUGUGGGGUGCUCGAGUGGCGAACGGGUGAGUAACACGUGAGUAACCUGCCCUUGACUUUGGGAUAACUUCAGGAAACUGGGGCUAAUACCGGAUAGGAGCUCCUGCUGCAUGGUGGGGGUUGGAAAGUUUCGGCGGUUGGGGAUGGACUCGCGGCUUAUCAGCUUGUUGGUUGGGUAGUGGCUUACCAAGGCUUUGACGGGUAGCCGGCCUGAGAGGGUGACAGGCCACAUUGGGACUGAGAUACGGCCCAGAAUACUACGGGAGGCAGCAGGGGGGAAUAUUGCACAAUGGGCGGAAGCCUGAUGCAGAAACGCCGCGUGCGGGAUGACGGCCUUCGGGUUGUAAACCGCUUUCGCCUGUGACGAAGCGUGAGUGACGGUAAUGGGUAAAGAAGCACCGGCUAACUACGUG
rnacentral:rRNA from 1 species